rnacentral:tRNA from 1 species
GCACCGUUAGCUCAAUUGGCAGAGCAGCCGACUCUUAAUCAGCGGGUUGUAGGUUCGAUUCCCCCACGGUGUACCA